rnacentral:rRNA from 1 species
UACGGGGGGUGCGAGCGUUGUCCGGAAUCACUGGGCGUAAAGGGCGCGUAGGUGGCGUCGUAAGUCUGUGGUGAAAGCCCGGAGCUCAACUCCAGAACUGCCUCUGAUACUGGCAAUCUCGAGUCCGGAAGAGGUGAGUGGAACUCCUAGUGUAGAGGUGGAAUUCGUAGAUAUUAGGAAGAACACCAGUGGCGAAGGCGGCUCACUGGUCCGGUACUGACGCUGAGGUGCGAAAGCGUGGGGAGCAAACAGG